UUGAAUAACUUGGUGCUGAGCUGGCCCUACUCGGGCAUGUGCUUGCAUCAUAUUAUUUAUCUAUCUCUUGUGCACCUUUUGUAGUCUUUGAAGCGUUCGCAGUCAAUGCGGUUUUGGGUCUUGGGCUUUGCUGCCCUUGUCCCUGUUCUGCUUCAAAGGCUAUGUUUUCAUACACACUAUUUGAAGUUACAGAAUGUCUCUUAUUGACUUUCAAGUCAGUAAAUCUAUA
rnacentral:misc_RNA from 1 species